rnacentral:rRNA from 1 species
UACAGAGGUCUCAAGCGUUGUUCGGAUUCAUUGGGCGUAAAGGGUGUGUAGGUGGCGCGCUAAGUCGGGUGUGAAAUUUCGGAGCUUAACUCCGAAACUGCAUUCGAUACUGGCGUGCUUGAGGACUGGAGAGGAGACUGGAAUUCAUGGUGUAGCAGUGAAAUGCGUAGAGAUCAUGAGGAACACCAGUGGCGAAGGCGGCUCACUGGCCCGGUACUGACGCUGAGGUGCGAAAGCGUGGGGAGCAAACAGG